GGUUAAGCGACUAAGCGUACACGGUGGAUGCCCUGGCAGUCAGAGGCGAUGAAGGACGUGCUAAUCUGCGAUAAGCGUCGGUAAGGUGAUAUGAACCGUUAUAACCGGCGAUUUCCGAAUGGGGAAACCCAGUGUGAUUCGUCACACUAUCAUUAACUGAAUCCAUAGGUUAAUGAGGCGAACCGGGGGAACUGAAACAUCUAAGUACCCCGAGGAAAAGAAAUCAACCGAGAUUCCCCCAGUAGCGGCGAGCGAACGGGGAGCAGCCCAGAGCCUGAAUCAGUGUGUGUGUUAGUGGAAGCGUCUGGAAAGGCGCGCGAUACAGGGUGACAGCCCCGUACACAAAAAUGCACAUGCUGUGAGCUCGAUGAGUAGGGCGGGACACGUGGUAUCCUGUCUGAAUAUGGGGGGACCAUCCUCCAAGGCUAAAUACUCCUGACUGACCGAUAGUGAACCAGUACCGUGAGGGAAAGGCGAAAAGAACCCCGGCGAGGGGAGUGAAAAAGAACCUGAAACCGUGUACGUACAAGCAGUGGGAGCACAGAGCAAUCUGUGUGACUGCGUACCUUUUGUAUAAUGGGUCAGCGACUUAUAUUCUGUAGCAAGGUUAACCGAAUAGGGGAGCCGAAGGGAAACCGAGUCUUAACUGGGCGUUAAGUUGCAGGGUAUAGACCCGAAACCCGGUGAUCUAGCCAUGGGCAGGUUGAAGGUUGGGUAACACUAACUGGAGGACCGAACCGACUAAUGUUGAAAAAUUAGCGGAUGACUUGUGGCUGGGGGUGAAAGGCCAAUCAAACCGGGAGAUAGCUGGUUCUCCCCGAAAGCUAUUUAGGUAGCGCCUCGUGAAUUCAUCUCCGGGGGUAGAGCACUGUUUCGGCAAGGGGGUCAUCCCGACUUACCAACCCGAUGCAAACUGCGAAUACCGGAGAAUGUUAUCACGGGAGACACACGGCGGGUGCUAACGUCCGUCGUGAAGAGGGAAACAACCCAGACCGCCAGCUAAGGUCCCAAAGUCAUGGUUAAGUGGGAAACGAUGUGGGAAGGCCCAGACAGCCAGGAUGUUGGCUUAGAAGCAGCCAUCAUUUAAAGAAAGCGUAAUAGCUCACUGGUCGAGUCGGCCUGCGCGGAAGAUGUAACGGGGCUAAACCAUGCACCGAAGCUGCGGCAGCGACACUGUGUGUUGUUGGGUAGGGGAGCGUUCUGUAAGCCUGCGAAGGUGUGCUGUGAGGCAUGCUGGAGGUAUCAGAAGUGCGAAUGCUGACAUAAGUAACGAUAAAGCGGGUGAAAAGCCCGCUCGCCGGAAGACCAAGGGUUCCUGUCCAACGUUAAUCGGGGCAGGGUGAGUCGACCCCUAAGGCGAGGCCGAAAGGCGUAGUCGAUGGGAAACAGGUUAAUAUUCCUGUACUUGGUGUUACUGCGAAGGGGGGACGGAGAAGGCUAUGUUGGCCGGGCGACGGUUGUCCCGGUUUAAGCGUGUAGGCUGGUUUUCCAGGCAAAUCCGGAAAAUCAAGGCUGAGGCGUGAUGACGAGGCACUACGGUGCUGAAGCAACAAAUGCCCUGCUUCCAGGAAAAGCCUCUAAGCAUCAGGUAACAUCAAAUCGUACCCCAAACCGACACAGGUGGUCAGGUAGAGAAUACCAAGGCGCUUGAGAGAACUCGGGUGAAGGAACUAGGCAAAAUGGUGCCGUAACUUCGGGAGAAGGCACGCUGAUAUGUAGGUGAAGUCCCUCGCGGAUGGAGCUGAAAUCAGUCGAAGAUACCAGCUGGCUGCAACUGUUUAUUAAAAACACAGCACUGUGCAAACACGAAAGUGGACGUAUACGGUGUGACGCCUGCCCGGUGCCGGAAGGUUAAUUGAUGGGGUUAGCGCAAGCGAAGCUCUUGAUCGAAGCCCCGGUAAACGGCGGCCGUAACUAUAACGGUCCUAAGGUAGCGAAAUUCCUUGUCGGGUAAGUUCCGACCUGCACGAAUGGCGUAAUGAUGGCCAGGCUGUCUCCACCCGAGACUCAGUGAAAUUGAACUCGCUGUGAAGAUGCAGUGUACCCGCGGCAAGACGGAAAGACCCCGUGAACCUUUACUAUAGCUUGACACUGAACAUUGAGCCUUGAUGUGUAGGAUAGGUGGGAGGCUUUGAAGUGUGGACGCCAGUCUGCAUGGAGCCGACCUUGAAAUACCACCCUUUAAUGUUUGAUGUUCUAACGUUGACCCGUAAUCCGGGUUGCGGACAGUGUCUGGUGGGUAGUUUGACUGGGGCGGUCUCCUCCUAAAGAGUAACGGAGGAGCACGAAGGUUGGCUAAUCCUGGUCGGACAUCAGGAGGUUAGUGCAAUGGCAUAAGCCAGCUUGACUGCGAGCGUGACGGCGCGAGCAGGUGCGAAAGCAGGUCAUAGUGAUCCGGUGGUUCUGAAUGGAAGGGCCAUCGCUCAACGGAUAAAAGGUACUCCGGGGAUAACAGGCUGAUACCGCCCAAGAGUUCAUAUCGACGGCGGUGUUUGGCACCUCGAUGUCGGCUCAUCACAUCCUGGGGCUGAAGUAGGUCCCAAGGGUAUGGCUGUUCGCCAUUUAAAGUGGUACGCGAGCUGGGUUUAGAACGUCGUGAGACAGUUCGGUCCCUAUCUGCCGUGGGCGCUGGAGAACUGAGGGGGGCUGCUCCUAGUACGAGAGGACCGGAGUGGACGCAUCACUGGUGUUCGGGUUGUCAUGCCAAUGGCACUGCCCGGUAGCUAAAUGCGGAAGAGAUAAGUGCUGAAAGCAUCUAAGCACGAAACUUGCCCCGAGAUGAGUUCUCCCUGACUCCUUGAGAGUCCUGAAGGAACGUUGAAGACGACGACGUUGAUAGGCCGGGUGUGUAAGCGCAGCGAUGCGUUGAGCUAACCGGUACUAAUGAACCGUGAGGCUUAACCUU
rnacentral:rRNA from 1 species